UGAGGAAUAUUGGUCAAUGGACGCAAGUCUGAACCAGCCAAGUAGCGUGCAGGAUGACGGCCCUAUGGGUUGUAAACUGCUUUUAUGUGGGGAUAAAGUGCGUGACGUGUCAUGCAUUGCAGGUACCACAUGAAUAAGGAACGGCUAAUUCCGUGCCAGCAGCCGCGGUAAUACGGAAGGUCCGGGCGUUAUCCGGAUUUAUUGGGUUUAAAGGGAGCGUAGGCUGUCUAUUAAGCGUGUUGUGAAAUAUACCGGCUCAACCGGUGGCUUGCAGCGCGAACUGGUCGACUUGAGUAUGCAGGAAGUAGGCGGAAUUCAUGGUGUAGCGGUGAAAUGCUUAGAUAUCAUGACGAACUCCGAUUGCGCAGGCAGCUUACUGUAGCAUAACUGACGCUGAUGCUCGAAAGUGCGGGUAUCAAACAGG
rnacentral:rRNA from 1 species